GCCCCGGUAGCUCAGUAGGAUAGAGCAGCGCACUCCUAAGGCGUAGGUCGCACGUUCGAUUCGUGUCCGGGGCACCA
rnacentral:tRNA from 1 species